rnacentral:lncRNA from 1 species
UUCCAGUACCUGUACCCCUAUCUAUGACUGCUGUACCAAAAGCUCUUUCAUUUCCUACAGGCCUAAGGUAAAGUCAGCCCCGUCAGUUCUAGUGGUAAGGUAAGGCCCUGUGUCAUCUUUUGUGUAAGCCAGUGAAAGAAAGUAAAUAAGAACUCAUUAGGAGACUUCCAGUUUUUUUACCUGCCAGCUAGUUUCCUGCUCUCUUUGCCAGUGUGCUAGCAAAGUGGACUGCUGUUCCUUCGAAUAUCUACUAGCUUUGAUAGUAUACCUACCCUUUUGUAAUUCUUUCGAGUGUAAAAUGCUUUUUGAAUACCCAUUAAUCAAGUGGGAAAAAGAUUCAUUCAUAGAGUGCGAGUUUUCCCGCCCUGUACCCAGUGUAAAAAAGCUUAAUUGGGAGUGUCCUUCUCGCCAGGCGAGUUAAGUUUGAGAGCCAACAGAAGAAAGGGCUAAAGCCUGUUCUCGCUGACCCUGGGAGAUCUCGUGUACGUUCUCUUCGAUGUAGUUUCCUGCCC